rnacentral:rRNA from 1 species
UUGAACGCUGGCGGCAGGCCUCACACAUGCAAGUCGAGCGGAUGAAGGGAGCUUGCUCCUGGAUUCAGCGGCGGACGGGUGAGUAAUGCCUAGGAAUCUGCCUGGUAGUGGGGGAUAACGUCCGGAAACGGGCGCUAAUACCGCAUACGUCCUGAGGGAGAAAGUGGGGGAUCUUCGGACCUCACGCUAUCAGAUGAGCCUAGGUCGGAUUAGCUAGUUGGUGGGGUAAAGGCCUACCAAGGCGACGAUCCGUAACUGGUCUGAGAGGAUGAUCAGUCACACUGGAACUGAGACACGGUCCAGACUCCUACGGGAGGCAGCAGUGGGGAAUAUUGGACAAUGGGGGAGAGCCUGAUCCAGCCAUGCCGCGUGUGUGAAGAAGGUCUUCGGAUUGUAAAGCACUUUAAGUUGGGAGGAAGGGCAGUAAGUUAAUACCUUGCUGUUUUGACGUUACCAACAGAAUAAGCACCGGCUAACUUCGUG